rnacentral:rRNA from 1 species
GAUGAACGCUGGCGGCGUGCCUAAUACAUGCAAGUCGAGCGAACGGACGAGAAGCUUGCUUCUCUGAUGUUAGCGGCGGACGGGUGAGUAACACGUGGAUACCCUCCCUAUAAGACUGGGAUAACUUCGGGAAACCGGAGCUCAUACCGGAUAAUAUUUUGAACCGCAUGGUUCAUAAGUGAACGACGGUCUUGCUGUCACUUAUAGUCGGAUCCGCGCUGCAUUAGCUAGUUGGUAAGGCACCGGCUUACCAAGGCAACGGUGCAUAGCCGACGGGAGCGGGUGAUCGACCACACCGGAACUGAGACACGGUCCAGACUCCUACGGGAGGGAGCGGUAGGGAAACUGCCGCUAUGGGCGAAGUCCUGACGGAGCAACGCCGCGGGAGUGAGGAAGAUCUUCGGAUCGUAAAACGCUGUUAUUAGGGAAGAACAUAUGUGUAAGUAACGGUGCACAACUUGACGGUACCUAAUCAGAAAGCCACGGCUAACUACGUG